UACGUAGGCCGCAAGCGUUGUUCGGAAUUACUGGGCGUAAAGAGUGUGUAGGCGGUGCUCUAAGUUCGGUGUGAAAUCUCCUGGCUCAACUGGGAGGGUGCGCCGGAAACUGGGGUGCUUGAGCGCGGGAGAGGAAAGCGGAAUUCCUGGUGUAGCGGUGAAAUGCGUAGAUAUCAGGAGGAACACCGAUGGCGAAGGCAGUUCUCUGGGCCGUAACUGACGCUGAGGAGCGAAAGCGUGGGGGGCGAACAGG
rnacentral:rRNA from 1 species